GGAGUUUGAUCGUGGCUCAGGAUGAACGCUAGCGGCGCGCCUAACACAUGCAAGCCGAACGGCACCUAUCUUCGGAUAGAAGCGAGUGGCGAACGGCUGAGUAACACGUGGAGAACCUGCCCCCUCCCCCGGGAUAGCCGCCCGAAAGGACGGGUAAUACCGGAUACCCCCGGGAGCCGCAUGGCGCCCGGGCUAAAGCCCCGACGGGAGGGGAUGGCUCCGCGGCCCAUCAGGUAGACGGCGGGGUGACGGCCCACCGUGCCGACAACGGGUAGCCGGGUUGAGAGACCGACCGGCCAGAUUGGGACUGAGACACGGCCCAGACUCCUACGGGAGGCAGCAGUGGGGAAUCUUGCGCAAUGGGGGCAACCCUGACGCAGCGACGCCGCGUGAAGGAAGAAGUAUCUCGGUAUGUAAACUUCUAUCAGC
rnacentral:rRNA from 1 species